rnacentral:rRNA from 1 species
UACGGGAGGCAGCAGUGGGGAAUAUUGCACAAUGGGCGAAAGCCUGAUGCAGCUAUGCCGCGUGUAUGAAGAAGGCCUUAGGGUUGUAAAGUACUUUCAUCGGGGAGGAAAAAACAAAACUAAUAAUUUUAUUUCUUGACGUUACCCGAAAAAGAAGCACCGGCUAACUCCGUGCCAGCAGCCGCGGUAAUACGGAGGGUGCUAGCGUUAAUCAGAAUUACUGGGCGUAAAGAGCACGUAGGUGGUUUUUUUAAAGUCAGAUGUGAAAUCCCUGGGCUUAACCUGGAACUGCAUUUUGAAACUGAAAUACUAGAGUAUCGUAGAGGGAGGUAGAAUUCUAGGUGUAGCGGUGAAAUGCGUAGAUAUCUGGAGGAAUACCUGUGGCGAAAGCGGCCUCCUAAACGAAUACUGACACUGAGUGCGAAAGCGUGGGGAGCAAACAGGGAUUAGAUACC